ACUCGAACACCGGUUGUCGUACGAUCACUGAAGUUAAGCAACGUUGAGCCUGGUUUGUACCUACAUGGGCGACCGCUUGAGAAUCCCGUGCGCUGCAAG